rnacentral:rRNA from 1 species
GAUGAACGCUGGCGGCGUGCCUAAUACAUGCAAGUCGAGCGAACAGAUGAGGAGCUUGCUCCUCUGACGUUAGCGGCGGACGGGUGAGUAACACGUGGAUAACCUACCUAUAAGACUGGGAUAACUUCGGGAAACCGGAGCUAAUACCGGAUAAUAUAUUGAACCGCAUGGUUCAAUAGUGAAAGACGGUUUUGCUGUCAUUUAUAGAUGGAUCCGCGCCGCAUUAGCUAGUUGGUAAGGUAACGGCUUACCAAGGCAACGAUGCGUAGCCGACCUGAGAGGGUGAUCGGCCACACUGGAACUGAGACACGGUCCAGACUCCUACGGGAGGCAGCAGUAGGGAAUCUUCCGCAAUGGGCGAAAGCCUGACGGAGCAACGCCGCGUGAGUGAUGAAGGUCUUCGGAUCGUAAAACUCUGUUAUUAGGGAAGAACAAAUGUGUAAGUAACUAUGCACGUCUUGACGGUACCUAAUCAGAAAGCCACGGCUAACUACGUG